rnacentral:lncRNA from 1 species
CUCCGUUGGCUUCUUCACGAGUGACAACCAUGUUUUCCCAGAUAGAAGACCGGAGCCCUGCUCCUUUGCGAUCCGCCGAGGGCUGCAGAGAGCAUCCUCAUCCAUUUGGGCACCCCUGCCCAGGAAGAGCCCGGCCAUCCCUUUCCAGACUGGAUCCUUAAGAGGUGAAUUUUCUUCCGUGGAUUCCGAUUUGCUCCGUCUGACCAGCCUAGGCAAUCCAGCAUCGCGUGGUACCAGUGCCGCUGGGCACACUCGCUUCACGCCGGCUCCGCCUCACCAGCAAGCGCAUUCCCAGGUGGUCAGGCUCAGGAUGGACCAUGAGCUUUCAAAAAGGAAAAAGGUGGAAAUCCUCAACUAUGCUGCCAUCUGAAUAAGUGUUUCUUUGUAGAUGCACAGAGUCAAGGAAAAUUACAUCCCUGCAUUAUGUAAUGUGCCAACAACGCACUUACCCACUGUUUUAAUCUAGGUUAUUCUUGAAAGCAGAGCAUGAGACAAAGGUAGACACAUUCUAUUUAUGAGUCUAACACCCAGGAGCAGGAAUGAGAGAUAGGGGAGUGAACAUGGGGAAAAGGGAAACUAAGUCCAAGCACAACCAGAUACUGCUCUUAUCAAGUGGUCCACCCCUAUUAAUGGCGACAUAAUGCAGAACUUUCUCAGGAUUCUUCUUAAACUUUAUCUCAGAACUGUCUGCCUCAGGGAGAAAGGAGAAGUAUUUCUCCAUCAGCAGCCACCUCCUGUGUGUUGAGGGCUGCUCCUUUGGGGCAUUAACCCACUGCCUCCACCACCCCAACCCUCUGGGCUGCAAAGAGCUAGCUGACAGUCCAGCUGGUACCUUAGCAUCACACAUUGCUGCAUCAGAGAGGUCUUAAGACAGGAAGCUAGAGUCUUGGUGCAUGCUCGAAGUGAGAUGGUGUCAGCACAGAGCAGGGUAAAAUCUUCCCGUUAACUGUUCACCAGAGCUAUGACUGGAAUCAGAGGUUGAAAAGAUGUGAGACUGUACCCAAGAAGCAUCUUAUAAGCCUACGUAAUAUACUGUUAGACUCAUCGAAAUCUAUUUCCUCCCUUCUUUAUAAUCAAAACUUCAGUGUCCAGAAUAAAGUUGGCAGAAGGGUUAAAUUGGAAAGUUAAAUGUACUAGAAGGUGUACAUUUAUAACUUUUGACCUUGAGUCAUGUUCAAGGAGAAAGUGACAUUGGAACUUGGAAAAUUUAAAAAUGAUUCUACUUGAAAAAUUUGACCAUUGCAUAGAAAUAUUAGCUAUCGUCUAAUCUUUUGUAAUCUUAGAAACAAUCGUGAAUUGUUUGGUGAAAAAUGAAAAAAUAACCAUUUCUUAUGUCUCUGUGACCUUUAUAGACCAAUGUCACUAACUUUUCCUAAGGUAAUUGUUUCCUACUGUCAAAUAGCUCUAGUGAUAUAAAUCUUAACAAUCAAUGAAGGGAAAACUGGUGGAAACAUAGGAAGAAAAAUACUGGGAUAAUUUUCAUCACAAAGUAUUGGCAUUAACAUUGGUUAGAAUAGGGGAGAAACUGCAUGACUUGACAAGUGGACAUUCCUGUAUGUUGUAUGAGGCCCUGUCUUAACAGAAAUAGUGAUGUCAUCAUCAUCCUCUCUUAUUUGGUCUUGAAUUGCC